AUCCAAUGGACGAGUCCCAAAUAGGACGAGACGCGUGUCCUGAAU
rnacentral:hammerhead_ribozyme from 1 species